GUAACACGUGGGCGAUCUGCCCUGCACUUCGGGAUAAGCCUGGGAAACUGGGUCUAAUACCGGAUAGGACCACGGGAUUCAUGUCCUGUGGUGGAAAGCUUUUGCGGUGUGGGAUGGGCCCGCGGCCUAUCAGCUUGUUGGUGGGGUAACGGCCUACCAAGGCGACGACGGGUAGCCGGCCUGAGAGGGUGUCCGGCCACACUGGGACUGAGAUACGGCCCAGACUCCUACGGGAGGCAGCAGUGGGGAAUAUUGCACAAUGGGCGCAAGCCUGAUGCAGCGACGCCGCGUGGGGGAUGACGGCCUUCGGGUUGUAAACCUCUUUCACCAUCGACGAAGGUUCGGGUUUUCUCGGAUUGACGGUAGAUGGAGAAGAAGCACCGGCCAACUACGUGCCAGCAGCCGCGGUAAUACGUAGGGUGCGAGCGUUGUCCGGAAUUACUGGGCGUAAAGAGCUCGUAGGUGGUUUGUCGCGUUGUUCGUGAAAUCUCACGGCUUAACUGUGAGCGUGCGGGCGAUACGGGCAGACUAGAGUACUGCAGGGGAGACUGGAAUUCCUGGUGUAGCGGUGGAAUGCGCAGAUAUCAGGAGGAACACCGGUGGCGAAGGCGGGUCUCUGGGCAGUAACUGACGCUGAGGAGCGAAAGCGUGGGGAGCGAACAGGAUUAGAUACCCUGGUAGUCCACGCCGUAAACGGUGGGUACUAGGUGUGGGUUUCCUUCCUUGGGAUCCGUGCCGUAGCUAACGCAUUAAGUACCCCGCCUGGGGAGUACGGCCGCAAGGCUAAAACUCAAAGGAAUUGACGGGGGCCCGCACAAGCGGCGGAGCAUGUGGAUUAAUUCGAUGCGACGCGAAGAACCUUACCUGGGUUUGACAUGCACAGGACUCGUCUAGAGAUAGGCGUUCC
rnacentral:rRNA from 1 species